rnacentral:rRNA from 1 species
GAUGAACGCUGGCGGCGUGCUUAACACAUGCAAGUCGAACGAAGCACUUUAUUUGAUUUCCUUCGGGACUGAUUAUUUUGUGACUGAGUGGCGGACGGGUGAGUAACGCGUGGGUAACCUGCCUUGUACAGGGGGAUAACAGUUGGAAACGGCUGCUAAUACCGCAUAAGCGCACGGCAUCGCAUGAUGCAGUGUGAAAAACUCCGGUGGUAUAAGAUGGACCAGCGUUGGAUUAGCUAGUUGGUGAGGUAACGGCCCACCAAGGCGACGAUCCAUAGCCGACCUGAGAGGGUGACCGGCCACAUUUGGACUGAGACACCGCCCAAACUCCUACGGGAGGCAGCAGUGGGGAAUAUUGCACAAUGGGCGAAAGCCUGAUGCAGCCACGCCGCGUUAGCGAAUAAGUAGUUCGGUAUGUAAAGCUCUAUCAGCAGGGAAGAUAAUGACGGUACCUGACUAAGAAGCACCGGCUAAAUACGUG